AGCUCCAAUAGCGUAUAUUAAUGCUGUUGCGGUUAAAAAGCUCGUAGUUGGAUUUUGGGGCUCGAACGAUUGGUCCGGUGUAAACCGCGUACCGGUGGUUGGGUCCUUCUGUCUGGAGGCCGGGCACAACCACUUCAUUGUGGUGUGAACGGUGUCUAGGACUUUUACUUUGAACAAAUUAGAGUGUUUAAAGCAGGCUUACGCCCUGAAUACAUUAGCAUGGAAUAACCACUUAGGACUUUGGUUCUAUUUUGUUGGUUUUAAGGACCGAGGUAAUGAUUAAUAGGGACGGUUGGGGUCAUUAGUAUUUAGUUGCCAGAGGUGAAAUUCUCAGACUUACGAAAGACUAACUGCUGCGAAAGCUCUUGGCAAGGACGUUUUCAUUAAUCAAGAACGAAAG
rnacentral:rRNA from 1 species